rnacentral:rRNA from 1 species
GUGGGGAGCAAACAGGAUUAGAUACCCUGGUAGUCCACGCUGUAAACGAUGUCGACUUGGAGGUUGUGCCCUUGAGGUGUGGCUUCCGGAGCUAACGCGUUAAGUCGACCGCCUGGGGAGUACGGCCGCAAGGUUAAAACUCAAAUGAAUUGACGGGGGCCCGCACAAGCGGUGGAGCAUGUGGUUUAAUUCGAUGCAACGCGAAGAACCUUACCUGGUCUUGACAUCCACGGAAGUUUUCAGAGAUGAGAAUGUGCCUUCGGGAACCGUGAGACAGGUGCUGCAUGGCUGUCGUCAGCUCGUGUUGUGAAAUGUUGGGUUAAGUCCCGCAACGAGCGCAACCCUUAUCCUUUGUUGCCAGCGGUCCGGCCGGGAACUCAAAGGAGACUGCCAGUGAUAAACUGGAGGAAGGUGGGGAUGACGUCAAGUCAUCAUGGCCCUUACGACCAGGGCUACACACGUGCUACAAUGGCGCAUACAAAGAGAAGCGACCUCGCGAGAGCAAGCGGACCUCAUAAAGUGCGUCGUAGUCCGGAUUGGAGUCUGCAACUCGACUCCAUGAAGUCGGAAUCGCUAGUAAUCGUGGAUCAGAAUGCCACGGUGAAUACGUUCCCGGGCCUUGUACACACC